GAUGAACGCUGGCGGCGUGCCUAAUACAUGCAAGUCGAGCGAAUGGAUUAAGAGCUUGCUCUUAUGAAGUUAGCGGCGGACGGGUGAGUAACACGUGGGUAACCUGCCCAUAAGACUGGGAUAACUCCGGGAAACCGGGGCUAAUACCGAAUAACAUUUUGAACCGCAUGGUUCGAAAUUGAAAGUCGGCUUCGGCUGUAACUCAUGGAUGGACCCGAGUCGCAUUAGCUAGUUGGUGAGGUAACGGCUCACCAGGGCAACGAUGCGUAGCCGACCUGCGAGGGUGAUCGGCCACACUGGGACUGAGACACGGCCCAGACUCCUACGGGAGGCAGCAGUAGGGAAUCUUCCGCAAUGGACGAAAGUCUGACGGAGCAACGCCGCGUGAGUGAUGAAGGCUUUCGGGUCGUAAAACUCUGUUGUUAGGGAAGAACAAGUGCUAGUUGAAUAAGCUGGCACCUUGACGGUACCUAACCAGAAAGCCACGGCUAACUACGUGCCAGCAGCCGCGGUAA
rnacentral:rRNA from 1 species